GACGAACGCUGGCGGCGCGCUUAACACAUGCAAGUCGAACGGAAAGGCCUGCUUUCCCUUGUGGAUUGCGGGUACUCGAGUGGCGAACGGGUGAGUAACACGUGAGUGAUCUGCCCCCAACUUGGGUAUAAGCCUGGGAAACUGGGUCUAAUUCCCGAUAGGACUGCAGGGUGGUGCCUGUGGUGGAAAACGAUUUUCUAGUGGUUGGGGAUGAGCUCGCGGCCUAUCAGCUUGUUGGUGGGGUAAUGGCCUACCAAGGCGGCGACGGGUAGCCGGCCUGAGAGGGUGGAUGGCCACAUUGGGACUGAGAUACGGCCCAGACUCCUACGGGAGGCAGCAGUGGGGAAUAUUACACAAUGGGCGGAAGCCUGAUGCAGCGACGCCGCGUGGGGGAUGACGGCCUUCGGGUUGUAAACUCCUUUCGACCGCGAGGAAGCCACCUGGUUGGAAGGGUGGUGACGGUAGUGGUAGAAGAAGCACCGGCUAACUACGUG
rnacentral:rRNA from 1 species